rnacentral:rRNA from 1 species
GAGUUUGAUCGUGGCUCAGAUUGAACGCUGGCGGCAUGCCUUACACAUGCAAGUCGAACGGCAGCAUGAUCUAGCUUGCUAGAUUGAUGGCGAGUGGCGAAACGGGUGAGUAAUACAUCGGGAACGUGCCCUGUAGUGGGGGAUAACUAGUCGAAAGAUUAGCUAAUACCGCAUACGACCUGAGGGUGAAAGUGGGGGACCGCAAGGCCUCAUGCUAUAGGAGCGGCCGAUGUCUGAUUAGCUAGUUGGUGGGGUAAAGGCCCGACCAAGGCGACGAUCAGUAGCUGGUCUGAGAGGACGAUCAGCCACACUGGGACUGAGACACGGCCCAGACUCCUACGGGAGGCAGCAGUGGGGAAUUUUGGACAAUGGGCGAAAGCCUGAUCCAGCAAUGCCGCGUGUGUG